AACUUUCAACAACGGAUCUCUUGGUUCUGGCAUCGAUGAAGAACGCAGCGAAAUGCGAUAAGUA
rnacentral:rRNA from 1 species